UGUCUUCAGGGCGGGGUGAAAGUCCCCACCGGCGGUCAGAGUCCGCGAGCGUUAAGCUGAACCGGUGCAAUUCCGGUACCGACAGUACAGUCUGGAUGGGAGAAGAUG
rnacentral:ncRNA from 1 species